rnacentral:rRNA from 1 species
AUUGAACGCUGGCGGCAUGCCUUACACAUGCAAGUCGAACGGCAGCACGGGAGCAAUCCUGGUGGCGAGUGGCGAACGGGUGAGUAAUGUAUCGGAACGUACCUUUCAGUGGGGGAUAACGUAGCGAAAGUUACGCUAAUACCGCAUAUUCUGUGAGCAGGAAAGCAGGGGAUCGCAAGACCUUGCGCUGAUUGAGCGGCCGAUAUCAGAUUAGCUAGUUGGUGAGGUAAAGGCUCACCAAGGCGACGAUCUGUAGCGGGUCUGAGAGGAUGAUCCGCCACACUGGAACUGAGACACGGUCCAGACUCCUACGGGAGGCAGCAGUGGGGAAUUUUGGACAAUGGGCGCAAGCCUGAUCCAGCCAUGCCGCGUGAGUGAAGAAGGCCUCGGUUCGUAAGUACGUCUUUCUAGCCGGG